CUUUGAACUCACUGCUCCUGCGCUCUAGAGUGUCCCUCCCUCCCCCACUUCCUCUUCAAGACCCAGUUCAGCCUUCCCCUGACCUGCCCCAGGGGACCGGGCUGGCUUUCUUCUGUGCCACAGGCUCUGGGAAAUGCCUCGUGGCCCUCACCACGUGGGUUGAGAUGGUUCCUGGGUGCCUGGCUCCAUCUCCCUACACUGUGAGCUCCCUGUGGCUGCCUUAGCUACCUUCCUCAAAUAACAAGAGCUUGUGGCCUAGUGCUUCCAGACUGAUAACCCAGGAAAUGAUCGUCGCUUUGCAAGCAGAGUCCUGAUGCACUUGCGGGCGGAUGAAGCCUCAGGCGGGAAGCGUUCAGCUCCGCACCUCCUGGCCCCCUAAAGACCCAGCCUCAAGAACAGGGCUGGGGACCACGUCCUUCUCAGCCAACUCUCUUCAUCUUUCCCAUGCCUCAUCCAACGCCAGCGUCUGUUUCUUGACAAAGACUUUGAAAUCAUGCUGAUGCUGAUCAAAGUUGAUCAAAGUGGACAGAUAAAAUAAAAGCUGGAAGACUAUCAAGUAUCUCGUGGGCAAGGCCUAAGUUAAAAAGAAAAAAUAACUUAGUGGAGAAGAGGCUCUACUUCCAGAAAAGACUCUGCACAACGGCUUUACAUGCAGCCUGGGAAGUUAGGGUCGGCCGGCUGAGACCCUGGGGUCCAUCUGACCCUCAGCGUGUUCGGGCAUGUGAAACACCUUCCCAGGUGCGUGAGAAACAACGUCUUGGCAGAGAUGCAAGGGGCAGGCUGGCCUGGGGAACACGCUUGAACUGGGAUGAGAAAGAGUAGGAAUGCAGUAGGCCGGGAGUGACCAGAUGCCCGUGACAAGCACAGAAAGGAGAGCAAACAUGGACCAAAAGCAAAAGACGGAAAUGUGAAUACGCCAAAUGAAAAACAAAAUUAAACGUUGCUUUCUCGCAUGUUUGAUUUCGAAGAGCAUUGUUGUGGCACUGUCUCCUAACCCCCGGCCCAAUCCCACCAUCUCCCUCUCCCAGGGCGACAAGAGAAGACUGAGCAGCAGGGUGCAGCCCCGGCUCGGCCGGUGAUCCCUGAGGCUCUGGCACAAUCUACAGAGCCAGAGGGUUCCUGGCACUCCCUUUAUCAGCCAACAUCUGGCUCUUACCUGAAUUUUAUUUUCUGUAAUAAUCCAGACACUUUGGUUUAUCGGUCGUGCCCUUUUAUAAGGAGCCUUAUCAAAGUCAACCAAAUAUAAACCAGAACGACUAAAAAUCCAAGAACUGGCUGGGCGCAGGGACUCACAUCUGUAAUCCCAACACUUUGGGAGGCUGAGGCGGGGGAUCACUUGAGACCAGGAGUUCGAGACCGUCCUGUCCGUCAUGGUGAAACUCCGUCUCUACUAAAAAUACAAAAAUUAGCUGGACAUGGUGGCACACGCCUGUGAUGCCAGCUACUCAGGAGACUGAGGCAGGAGAAUCACUUGAAUUCUGGAGGCAGAGGUUGCAGUGAGCCAAGAUGGCAUCAUUGCACUCCGGCCUAGGCAACA
rnacentral:lncRNA from 1 species